AGAGAUUAAUUGAAGUUCUGAAGCCAGAAGAAUCCUCAAGCGAGCCUGAGGGACAUUCAAAACCAUGCUCCUACCACAUAGCUGAUGAUCACAAGACAAGCCGAGAUUCAACCCCAGCGGAGGGAGAUGAGAAAGGAAGCUUCGAUCAGAAAGCCGGUGAUGAGAAAAACGAAAUUAAUCAUGAAAUAGAAGGUGACAAUUCCAUAUUAAACAAGUAUAUGGCUGCGGUGGAAUCCAAAUUUGAAUAUACAAAGAGGAAACUCCAAGAAUCCUAUAAAAAUAUCGAGAACGCAAAGAAGCAGAGAAGGAUUCAGGUGAUCGACUUUCAACCUCAACCAAUGCCUAAGCAAAUAGCUUCCCAUAAACUUCGGCAUCCCAGGUCCAAGAAGUGUAAUUCUCGUCUUCCCACAUCCAAGAAAUAUAAUUCACAUCUUCUGAUCGGCCAACAUUAGCAAAAACCAGAUGGUUUGUCAUUUGUUUUUAAAAAAAUUCUUUCUCGAUUAGUCAUGGACCGUUCAUCAAUGGAUUAUGGAUUAUUACAGUACUGUAUACAAUGCUAUAGUUGUACAAGGCGAUUAUGUCUAUUUCCUGUAGAAACUCAUUAUACUACUAUUUGUUAAUAUAAAUACAAAUUGAAUUUCCA